GGUUAUUGAGAGAUGCGAUUCUAGAGAUAAAUAAAGAGAGGAACAGGUGUUGCCCUGUCGUUGCCGGUGGCUUCGGCCGUCUAUGGCGGCGGCGGGCGUACUAUGUGCGACGCCUCUGUUGCUUUUUACCUCUGGCUUUGAUUCUUUUCAUUUGCGUCGAUGUUGGAACGAAGAAUGGAUGUAGUGGACUAUUAGGACCAAAUCUGGAACAACCAGAUACCUAAGUUGAGUUCAUUGAUUUCUUUUCAUUUCUGAAUGAUAUAAGGAUUUCCUGUGCCCGUUGUAACCAUGGCUAUACAACGGAUUCGCAUGGAUAAACGCAGCAACGACUGAGGCGAUUGAAGGUUUUAGUUGUAUAGGGGAUCGUCAAUAGUGAAUGGUUGUUUUGGCUUACUAAAGGCAUCUGAAUUGGGUCAAACAAUAGCAGCAAAUAGGGGUCGUUAUCAUGGGGUAAGCCUACGGUAGCGCGCUGUGAAACAAAAAUGGUUUUUGGGGGGUGGCGAACGACACAACGGUUCCAUUUCCAGUUAUAAUCUUCAUGCUUGCACUAUAACUUGAAUGAUGCUUUCAUGCUCACAGCCACAUUAGUCCAAAAGGGUGUGAAACACCGCCCAACGGGCAUGAGUGGGGCUUGAUGGUCAGCCGUUUAGGGCAGUGGCGAAGCUUGAGAUUUCCGGUCGGGGGUCGCAAACGUAUAUACCAAAAAUUUCUAUAAAACCGAGGGGUCAAAAACGUGUAUACCAAAAAAUUUCUAUACGAAAAUUACAUACUCUCCACUAACGAGCGAAAAGUUCGGGGGGUCGACCGCCCCCUCCCGCCACCACAAAGCUCCGCACUUGGUUUAGGGCGGGUCACAAGCAUAGGAAUGGAGUAGUUAAAAGUGUCAUUUGGUAUUGCAACUGUUCAGUUAUCAUUUGCUGAAUUUUUGUAGAUAACUUGAAUGAAUGUUUUUAACUGUACCAUAUGUUUUGUAAUAUGAGGAUUAUGCAAAGAUGCUGAAUGGUUGCCCCAGUGGAAAAUUCCCAGGCUUUCUUUUUGGGGGAUAUGUUUAUUACUUUUGUGGUUCUGAUGCACCUAAAUUCGAAAACUCUUGCAUAAGAGGUUAGUUUCCCGCCGCAACGCGCGAGCGGGGAAAAACCUAGUUAUAGCUAAAGCAAUUAUGGGUAAAGUAACAGUUUUUAGCCCAGUAUUUGUAGAAAUAUAUAAUAUGGAUACUAUCAUGUAAUUUUACAGUUUUAACAAAUCAUGCUUACUAUCAUUCCACGGAACGAAUGAAAACCUUAAUUCCAAUUCCAGUUCAAUUAUAUUCUGAGAAACGAAUGCUACCUAAGGCCACUCGGGGUGGUACGUGAUGAAGCUCGAUAACGCGUUAAACUAUCACGCUACACCGCCGCCGGUUCUUUUAUAACGCGUGAAGUUUGAAACACGUUAUUUCCUUCACGCGUUGAAGUUUGUUGUUGUUCCAUAUUGCCGCCGCCUCCAUGUUCUGCAUAAUUAUUUGCUCUGCAUGUUGCAGAACUAAAAAUGGAAGUAUAGUUCAUCAUGGCAACACGUGUACAUGGAAGAAAUUAAAUGGAAGUAUGCAUCCAACACGUGUACAUGGAAGAAAAUGGCAG
rnacentral:lncRNA from 1 species